rnacentral:misc_RNA from 1 species
AACAGAACCCAGACGUCCUUGACAAAGUCCAUUAAUUUUCUCGAAUCAUUCGGCGCAAAUUCGCGUCGAUCGUAUCUAACGGACACUGUAGACGAAAUACGAUUUUCCACUUAGAAUAUUAUCCUUUCUGUUCAGUUCUAGCACAAUUUUGGUACUCAGCCUCUUCAACAAAAUUCUCAUUUUGAGUCCGUAAAUCGGCAAACGUAACGGUUAUCUCAAAUCAUCGUACUUUCCGAAUUCAUCGCACAACUUUUUCUAUUGUUCAAAUCUAUAACAUCUUCCUUUGACGUUUGAACGUGAUGCAGAUGUCGUUUUUCCGGAACGAUCUCGAAAACUGUCAUCGGGGCACAACUCGGCACGGAAAUCGAAAAUUCAACGCACAAAUAUCGGAUUGCACGAGACACGGGGUGAAAUCACGGGGUGCGAAUGCCAUCGGUCGAUCGAUCUUCCAGCUCGAAUUUUCCAUAAUUCUGGCCAUUUUCGGAAUGGCGGCGGCUUUUUGUAUGCCGCUCGCACGAAAUCGUAGCAGGGACAUGGGAAAGCCCGCACAAUGGAGUCAUCGAUCAUUCGGCAAAUUCCAUAGAGUAAAAAAUGCAGACUUCGAAACAGCAAGUUUGGCGUAUCCUGCGAAAGUUCGGCACAGACCAAGUUCAGCAUAGUAAGGCGAAGAAGACGAAGCGAGGGAAGAGGACAAGAUGUUGUUGGUCGCAGAUAAAAGGGAACUGCAGCAAGGCGACUGCGGCUUAGCAUGACAAUGCAGGUGCCUCAUCCCACGUCAAAACGCAGCGUGGCGCCACGACGAGAUAGGUACCAGACCGAUCGACUGGUUUGUAAUUGUUUAAGAGGAUUAGCCAGAGUAAAGUUUACGCGUGUCCAAGCUGGAGAGGGAGGAGAAAGAAGCCCAGUCGCUGAUAUUUAUCCGAACAUUAGACUCGGCUAAACUCAAAUUUACCAGCCUGAUCCCGGAAAAUAACAUUAAAAGUGACUGGAAUCGUUUGAACGUCGAAUCACACGCCUCAUCAACCGACAGUCGCCUCUUUCAGACGAAUUCUUGUGGUUCGUCGCUUUGCAGAUAUCUGAAGAAUUUCUAUAUCGAUUCUAACUUCGGAAGAG